UGAUUUCGUUCAGAAACUAAAACCAAAAGGUCAUACGGUCAUUUUCUGUUUUAAGUGCUAUACCCCAUUCCCUAUGUUGCAUAAUGCUACUUCAUGUUAUGCAACAUUUUUUUCCCAGUAUUUAGUGUAUUGCUGUCUUAAAUUCUGCUGGCUUCUCUGAUUGUUUGUUCUGCAACCAUAGAUAAGUAUUCUGCUUCUUUAUCAGAGAUCUCCCUUACAUGCAGGCUCAUGUUUUGAGGCCCCCCAAAGCUCCCAUUGCUAUAGAACAGCAUUAAUAUGCAGGUACUAGUAGGGAUCAAACCUCAAGACUGCAUCGCUCAUACAAGCUGUGAACCAGACACUCAGACUGCUAGUGAUUGACCUGACACAUCUGAAGUCCUGCAUCAAGCCCAGGUGGCUGGCAUGACUGUUCAGUAUCUCCAGGGUGCUGAUGGAAGAGGACUGAGAAGAUAUGAAAGAUGCAUCCAGUCAACGCAAGUGUUUAGGAUGGGAAGAAGAUGGGGGAAUACACUGCACACCUGCAAGUGCCAUCAUAUCCCACUGCUACUACUGCUGCCAAACGUGGUCAACUCCUUCAUAGGUUACACAGCUCAAACCUGGUGCAACACUUUAAGGAACAGUUCUAUUUCAUUCAUUUUUAUCCAUGAUCUGUUGUUUUCUUUUGCCACUGGAGAUCUAUCUACGAAUCUGCCCAUCCAAGACCACUCCCUUCCCAACAAACAUCUCACCACCACAAGUACACUUCCCAUGAACCCACACCUCUUCUCUCAUCUCCCUCCACCUCUCCGAACUGCUCAAAUGAAGACCUGAGCUCCGCAAUUUAUACACGUGCUUACAGUUAAGGGUUUACAGCAUUUCAACACCCCGGCACCAGGAACAGCUUCAACUGGAUGCAUUGCCAGUCAUACUCCUCCCACAUCCACCCCAAGGGAGGGCUGUUUUUGCCCUUGGCUCCAAAGUGCCAAAGGACACCAGCAGCUGUCAGGGGAGGAUAAGAAACUCAACGGAUGCCCCAGCAGUGUCUGGCAUGGAGCCAGAGAGCCUGCAGCAGCACCAGGGCCCACAGGCACGGCCAAGGGAUGGGCAGUGCUAUCGGAGAGCUGCAGGUGCUGCUGUUACUCAUCUUCCCUUGCAGCACACCAUGCUCCCUCCUGGCCCCUCAUUUUAUCACGGUCACUCCUGCUGCAGCUCUGCCUCUCUCUCUGCACAGUCAAGGAAGCUCUGGGAAUAGGUGUGGAGAAGAUAGAUGCACUUUGUGAAAAGUCUAUGGGGCAUCUUGAAAG
ensembl:lncRNA